CAGGUGGUGCAUGGUUGUCGUCAGCUCGUGUCGUGAGAUGUUGGGUUAAGUCCCGCAACGAGCGCAACCCUCGCCUUUAGUUGCCAUCAUUUAGUUGGGCACUCUAGAGGAACUGCCGGUGAUAAGCCGGAGGAAGGUGGGGAUGACGUCAAGUCCUCAUGGCCCUUAUGGGCUGGGCUACACACGUGCUACAAUGGCGAGUACAAAGAGCAGCUACUAGGUGACUAGAUGCUAAUCUCAAAAGCUCGUCUCAGUUCGGAUCGGAGUCUGCAACUCGACUCCGUGAAGUCGGAAUCGCUAGUAAUCGUGAAUCAGAAUGUCACGGUGAAUACGUUCCCGGGCCUUGUACACACCGCCCGUCACAUCAUGGGAAUUGGUUCUACCCGAAGACGCUGUGCUAACUUCGGAGGCAGGCGGCCACGGUAGGAUCAGUGACUGGGAUGAAGUCGUAACAAGGUAGCCGUAGGGGAACCUGCGGCUGGAUCAC
rnacentral:rRNA from 11 species